AUAAACUUGUAAUACGACAAUUAUUUUAAAAAAGUGUUCUCAGAAACAAGCUAUCAAGUGUGAAGAUUCAUGGCUUUCAAGCCAAAUGAUCAAUCUUAUGGCCACAUUCAUGACAUAGUUUGUUUAAAUGAUCUCAUAUUGUGCACAAGGGUGCAUCUUGGAAUGGCAGACAAUGUUUCCUAAGGAAGUUUUCAUUUUCUUUGGAAGAAAAUUUCAUUUUCCAUUUUUCGAGUGCCCGAAAUGAGUUUUUUUGUGAAGGACCUAUUAUAUAUUUGUUGCAAAAUUGUACCAAAUCAAUUUUCUAAAAUACUAGGACAUAUUUAGUGCACAAUUGACCAAAUGGUUGGGUGUAAAAAGUUUUGAUCCACCUCUCAUGAAAAAGACAAAUUCCUGCCGAUUCAGCCGGAAGCGGGUCAAAUUUGAACCGUAGCUACCUCGUAGUUUGCUCUUUAUUUUUUCCAAAAAUCAUUUAUAGGUACAUAAGUAUCUCUUUAAUCAGAGAAACAUCAAAAGGUCUCCAAGAUUCAACAACUAGCUAGGAACGGUCAAGCCCGCCGUUUUGACCGCAUUUUGAAACGGGGAUUAAAAAUUCAAAAAAACCAAAAAAUUGGAAAACCUUCGCAUUGUGUCAUCAUAUGUGACCAAGUUUCCAGCAAAAAUAAUAAACUUGUAAUACGGCAAUUAUUUUAAAAAAGUGUUCUCAGAAACGAGCUAUCAAGUGUGAAAAUUCAUGGCUUUCGAGCCAAAUGAUCAAUCUUAUGGCCACAUUCAUGACAUAGUUUGUUCAAGUGAUCUCAUAUUGUGCGCAAGGGUGCAUCUUGGAAUACAGACAAUGUUUCCUAAGGAAGUUUUCAUUUUCUAUGGAAGAAAAAUUCAUUUUCCAUUUUUCGAGUGCCCGAAAUGAGCUUUUUUGUGAAGGACCUAUAAUAUGUUUGUGACAAAAUUGUACCAAUUCAAUUUCCUAAAAUACUGUGACAUAUUUAAUGCACAAUUGACCAAAUGGUUGGGUGUAAAAAGUUUUGAUCCACCUCUCGUGAAAAUGACAAAUUCCCGCCGAUACAGCCGGAAGCGGGUCAAAUUUGAACCGUAGCUACCUCGUAGUUUGCUCUUUCUUUUUUCCAAAAAUCAUUUCUAGGUACAUAAGUAUCUAUUUAAUCAGAGAAACAUCAAAAGGUCUCCAAGAUUCAACAACUAGCUAGGAACGGUCAACCCGCCGUAUUGACCGCAUUUUGAAACAGCCAUAAAAACUUCAAAAAAAUCACAAAAUUGGAAAACCUUCGCAUUGUGUCAUCAUCUGUGACCAAGUUUCCAGCAAAUAUAAUAAACUUGUAAUACGGCAAUUAUUUUAAAAAAGUGUUCUCAGAAACGAGCUAUCAUGUGUGAAGUUUCAUGGCUUUCAAGCCAAAUGAUCAAUCUUAUGGCCACAUUCAUGACAUAGUUUGUUCAAAUGAUCUCAUAUUGUGCACAAGGGUGCAUCUUUGAAUGGCAGACAGUGUUUCCUAUGGAAGUUUUCAUUUUCUUUGGAAGAAAAAUUCAUUUUCCAUUUUUCGAGUGCCCGAAAUGAGUUUUUUUGUGAAGAACAUAUAAUAUAUUUGUUGCAAAAUUGUACCAAAUCAAUUUCCAAAAAUACUAGGACAUAUUUAAUGCACAAUUGACCAAAUGGUUGGGUGUAAAAAGUUUGAUCCACCUCUCGUGAAAAGGACAAAUUCUCGCCGAUUCAGCCGGAAGCGGGUCAAAUUUGAACUUUAGCUACCUCGUAGUUUUCUCUUUAUUUUUUGCAAAAAUCAUUUCUAGGUACAUAAGUAUCUAUUAAAUCAGAGAAACAUCAAAAGGUCUCCAAGAUUCAACAACUAGCUAGGAACGGUCAAGCCCGUCGUUUUGACCGCAUUUUGAAACGGGCAUAAAAAAUUAAAAAAAAACAAAAAAUGGGAAACCCUUCCCAUUGUGUCACCAUAUGUGACCUAGUUUCCAGCAAAAAUAAUAAACUUGUAGUUAGAAACGAGCUAUCAAGUGUGAAGAUUCAUGGCUUUCAAGCCAAAUGAUCAAUCUUAUGGCCACAUUCAUGACAUAGUUUGUUCAAAUGAUCUCAUAUUGUGCACAAGGCUGCAUCUUGGAAUGGCAGACAAUCUUGCCUAAGGAAAGUUUUCACUUUCUUUCGACGAAAAAUUCAUUUUGCAUUUUUUGAGUGCCCGAAAUGAGUUUUUUUGUGAAGGACCUAUAAUAUAUUGGUCGCAAAAUUGUACCAAAUUAAUUUUCUAAAAUACUAGGACAUAUUUAAUGCACAAUUGACCAAAUGGUUGCGUGUAAAAAGUUUUGAUCCACCUCUCGUGAAAAAGACAAAUUCCUGCCGAUUCAGGUGGAAGCGGGUCAAAUUUGAUCCGUAGCUACCUCGUAGUUUGCUCUUUAUUUUUUCCAAAAAUCAUUUCUAGGUACAUAAGUAUCUAUUUAAUCAGAGAAACAUCAAAAGGUCGCCAAGAUUCAACAACUAGCUACGAACGGUCAAGCCCGCCGUUUUGACCGCAUUUUGAAACGGGCAUAAAAAAUUCAAAAAAAAUCAAAAAAUUGGAAAACCUUUGCAUUGUGUCAUCAUAUGUGACUAAGUUCCCAGCAAAUAUAGUAAACUUGUAAUACGGCAAUUAUUUUAAAAAAGUGUUCUCAGAAACGAGCUAUCAAGUGUGAAGAUUCAUGGCUUUCAAGCCAAAUGAUCUUUCUUAUGGCCACAUUCAUGCCAUAGUUUGUUCAAAUGAUCUUAUAUUGUGCGCAAGGAUAUAUCUUGGAAUGGCAGAUAAUGUUUCCUAAGGAAGUUUUCAUUUUCUUUGGAUGAAAAAAUCAUUUUCCAUUUUUCGAGUGCCCGAAAUGAGUUUUUUUGUGAAGGACCUAUAAUAUAUUUGUUGCGAAAUUGUACCAAAUCAAUUUCCUA
rnacentral:lncRNA from 1 species